rnacentral:rRNA from 1 species
UACGUAGGGUGCAAGCGUUGUCCGGAAUUAUUGGGCGUAAAGAGCUCGUAGGCGGUUUGUCGCGUCUGCUGUGAAAAUCCAGGGCUUAACCCUGGACCUGCAGUGGGUACGGGCAGACUGGAGUGCGGUAGGGGAGAUCGGAAUUCCUGGUGUAGCGGUGAAAUGCGCAGAUAUCUGGGGGAAGGCCGGCGGCGAAGGCGCUUUUCUGGCUGGUUCCUGACACUGAGGCACGAAAGCGUGGGGGAGCAAACAGG